UCAGGCGGUGCCUUCGCCGGGACGUAGAGACACGGGGGACAGUGUGGAAGGACGCGGAAGGCAGACCGGCCCUCCGUGGGACACCCCCCCACACCCGCCGGCCCUGCCAGGGCGGCUGUGAGCAGGGCCGGCACCUCCAGCCCUUUGCCUACCUCUCGCAUGUUCCCCUCCGGCCGAGCCUGCCCUGAGGGAAGUGGAGGCAGGCCCCGGGCACCCCAGCGCAGGCCACGGACGUGCAGGAGGAAGGAAGCUCUCGUGCGGUAAGAGCUGUGCCAGUGGGGCCAGGACUUCUGGAUUCCAGUCCAGGCCCCGUUUAUUUGCUACAGCCUUGAGCCUGGGAUGCUUCAUCUUCUAUGCAAAGAAGAUGGUCCUAUGUCAGGGGGUGGACUGUAAGGGUCUAGUCCUAUUGCCCCACAGUGGAGCGCUUUCCAGGUGCGGGAUGCUGCUGAGCAGUUCAUCUGCAUCAUCAAGGGCGGCAGACAGAGUCUGAGCAUGCUCUGCAAAGCACUGCCUUCACGCCCAGGGCUGCUAUAACCAAGGACCAACAGCUUGGUGGCUUCACACAACAGAAACGUAGUCACUCACAAUCCCGGAGGCCAGCAGUCUGCAGCCGGGGUGUCGGCAGGGCCGUGCUCCCUGCAGGGGCUCUGGGGAGAGUCCAUUCCUUGCCUCCCGUGACUUCUGGUGGCUGCUGGCGGGCACGUCACUCCGCCUUCUCACGGACUUCUAUUCCGUGUGUGUUCAAUUUCCCUCCACCUCUCCUUCGUAAGGACGCUGGUGAUUGGAUUGAGGCUCCCCUCGGACCAGCUCGGAUCGUCUCUCCACAUCAGCAUCCUUGCGUUAGUCACAACCGCAAGGACUUUGCCCUCAUGUAUAGGCUCCAGGGAUUAGGACUUAAGAUCACUGGGCGGUCGUUAUUCAGCCGGCCGUGGUCCGUCCUCCGGCUGCCGAAGAGUCCCGUCUACCCUACGUGCAAAAUAUAGUCACCCACAUCCCUGAGAGGUUCAACCCAUGACAGCUUCAACUCAGGCAACCUCUCCGCACCGGCGCUGGCUUUGGACCCCGGCCACCAGAAGGCAGGCUGUGUCCCUGACUCACCGACGUGCCAGAGACCGUCUCUGCCUGAACGGGCUUCUGAAAGGGGAGAAGUCUUCCACGAGUUGGAUUUUCUGCCUCUUGGGCCAAGCUGGCUGAAAGAAAAGGACAGCCGUGAAAGAGAAAGGAGAAAAAAAUGGGAGCCGGCCUGUCCCAGCCCGGAGCUCAGGGGCCAAACGGGAUUCGAUCUUCUGGAUUAGCGCUCAGCUCAGGACCUGAUUCUUCGCUCCCAUGAAGCUCUCACCGUCCAUAUUUGAAGGCUUUAUGCCCCUCUUAUUCUUUGAUCCUCUACUUUGAUUUUCAAGCUCCCAAAGGAACUGCAAUAUGCCGCAAGGUUUGAGACUUGCCAGCGUCAUACGGACAGCUGGGUUUCGGUUCUGCUGACCACAAGCUGUGAACAUGGCUUAACACAGCCCCACUUGGUGCACUGGGUGACAAGGUGGAAGUGACCGCUGAAUGAGAUCAUUCAUGGAGCAGCGAGCACGGUUUCUGGCCGACUGCAGGCCCUCCAUAAGCAGGAGCUCUCACCGUACAAAGCGGCAGCCUACUCACGCCCCCCAACCGGUGCCCGAGCACACGGGGUAGGAGUGCUGGAAGGAGGUCCGGAAUGCUGGGAAGCUCACCCUCUGAUGUGACCUCGGAGGCCCCAUCCUGUGAAGGCCACCCCCAGGGAUGGGCUCCGGCCUACUGUCUCUGUGCCCAUCUGGUUUGGAGCUGGCAGGAGGCUGAACCGAGCUGUGCGUGGGGAUCUGGGGAUUCCUGAGGGCACCGGCCUUUGUAUGAGUUUAUAAGGCCGCAGCGAUCACGAAGUACCCCACACUGAGGGGCUUAAGCAACAGAAAGUCCCUCUGUGUGUGUGUGUGUGUGUGUGUGUGUGUCCUGAUCUCUUCUUAUAAGGACGCCAGUCCCAUUGGAUCAGGGCCCUCCCCAAAGACCUCAUUUAACCUUAAAGACCCUGUCUCCAAACACAGUCACAUUCUGAUGUGCUGGGAGUUAGCACUGCAACAAAUGAAUGGGGUGGGGGUGGGGGGCACAGUUCACUCUGGGGAGGGAUAUGAUACUCUGCUUUAUGAUCCCCCAAAUUACGUCCUUCUUAUACGCAAAAUACAUUCACCCCAUCCCAACAGCCCCACAGGUCUGGACCCAUUCCAGCACUGACUGUAAGGUCCAAACGCUCAUCCAAACAUAAAGCAGGUACAUGCGAACGAGAGGUAAGGUUACUCUCGACCAUCUCCAGCUGUUGUCUUGAACCAGACAACCAGUUGAAAGAGGACUUCAACCACCUCCAUUUUGACCUCAGUCUGUACUAAGUAAAUUCUUUCCAGCUUAUCUCUUAAGGCGGGCAAGCAUCCCGGGCCCGAAACGGAAACCACCUCUGGCGCAGGCGGGGCUGCCGGGAGCCAGCAAGACCCCGCGGGACCGGCCGCCAGAAGCCCACCAGCCAGACAGCGAUGCCCGACCGCCACGCCCCGCUGCCUGGUCCCACCGACCUCGGUCCCGCAUUCUCCUGACAGAAACUCAGAAGUACUUUCCGUGCUUCGAAGACAGUCUUUGAGACGCGAGUGCGCUGUCUUGCUGGUGUUGGCCUCACUGGAAUAAA